CUGUUCUACAGCUAUGGCCGGGCCAGCUGCAGCUUUCCGCCGCUUGGGCGCCUUGUCCGGAGCUGCGGCCUUAGGCUUCGCUUCCUACGGGGCGCACGGCGCCCAAUUCCCAGAUGCCUACGGGAAGGAGGCGGCCUGAGCACGCUCACUGACACCGUUUGGCGGCCUGUCACCCGCGUGGCUGGGGCACCUGCAGAAACUGCUGUCGCUGCGAGGUGCCCGUGUGGGUCACCGCUGUGCCAGGGAGAGAAGACGGCGAGGUCGCCCCUGGGAGGCAGAAGGCGAGCCAGGAGCCAGUCCUGGAAGCCAAUGAAGGCGCCGCCCAAGAGACCCUGGGCCGGCGCCGGGCGCAGCUGCCUCUCCGUCUUUGUGUCUGUCUCUGUGUCUGUCUGGCUAUCUCCGAGUUUGCCUCCGCUUCCAGAACUAAGCCACCCAGACACCAUCAUCUCGAAAACCCCAGCCCUUCUCCCAUGGCAGGCUACUUGCCCCCCAAAGGCUACGCCCCUUCGCCCCCACCUCCCUACCCUGUCACCCCUGGGUACCCGGAGCCGGCGCUACAUCCUGGGCCCGGGCAGGCGCCAGUGCCCGCCCAGGUACCUGCCCCAGCUCCCGGCUUCGCCCUCUUCCCCUCGCCUGGCCCCGUGGCCUUGGGGUCUGCUGCCCCCUUCUUGCCACUGCCAGGGGUGCCUUCUGGCCUCGAAUUCCUGGUGCAGAUUGAUCAGAUUUUGAUUCACCAGAAGGCUGAGCGAGUGGAAACGUUCCUAGGCUGGGAGACCUGUAAUCGGUAUGAACUGCGCUCUGGGGCCGGGCAGCCCCUGGGUCAGGCGGCCGAGGAGAGCAACUGCUGCGCCCGUCUGUGCUGUGGCGCCCGCCGGCCGCUGCGUGUCCGCCUGGCCGACCCCGGGGACCGUGAGGUGCUGCGUUUGCUCCGCCCGCUGCACUGUGGCUGCAGCUGCUGCCCCUGUGGCCUCCAGGAGAUGGAAGUACAGGCUCCACCAGGCACCACCAUUGGCCACGUGCUACAGACCUGGCAUCCCUUCCUCCCCAAGUUCUCCAUCCAGGAUGCCGAUCGCCAGACAGUCUUGCGAGUGGUGGGGCCCUGCUGGACCUGUGGCUGUGGCACAGACACCAACUUUGAGGUGAAGACUCGGGAUGAAUCCCGCAGUGUGGGCCGCAUCAGCAAGCAGUGGGGGGGCCUGGUCCGAGAAGCCCUCACAGAUGCAGAUGACUUUGGCCUACAGUUCCCGCUGGACCUGGAUGUGAGGGUGAAGGCUGUGCUGCUGGGAGCCACAUUCCUCAUUGACUACAUGUUCUUUGAGAAGCGAGGAGGCGCUGGGCCCUCUGCCGUCACCAGUUAGAGGCCACCAUGGUGUGAGGAGACCAUCACCUCGACCAGAACUCCAGAUGGUCACCUGCCCUGGCCCCUCCUCUGGGCAGCCCCUUUCCUCCAUGUACACUGCAGGGGACAGAAGGGGGGCCCCAUCCCUACCCUACUCCCUGGCCGCCUGCCCCUGUGGUUCCCAAGG
rnacentral:lncRNA from 1 species